rnacentral:rRNA from 1 species
GACGAACGCUGGCGGCGUGCUUAACACAUGCAAGUCGAGCGGUAAGGCCCUUUCGGGGUACACGAGCGGCGAACGGGUGAGUAACACGUGGGUGACCUGCCCUCAGCUCUGGGAUAAGCCUGGGAAACCGGGUCUAAUACUGGAUAUGACUCCAUGACGCAUGUUGUGGGGUGGAAAGCCUUGUGCGGCUGAGGAUGGGCCCGCGGCCUGUCAGCUUGUUGGUGGGGUGAUGGCCUACCAAGGCGACGACGGGUAGCCGGCCUGAGAGGGCGACCGGCCACACUGGGACUGAGACACGGCCCAGACUCCUACGGGAGGCAGCAGUGGGGUAANCUUGCGCAAUGGGCGAAAGCCCUGACGCAGCGACGCCGCGUGAGGGAUGACGGCCUCGGUGUAAC